UACGUAGGUGGCAAGCGUUGUCCGGAUUUACUGGGCGUAAAGAGCGCGCAGGCGGUCGUUCAAGUCGCGUGUGAAAGCCCCCGGCUCAACUGGGGAGGGUCACGCGAUACUGAUCGACUCGAAGGCAGGAGAGGGUAGUGGAAUUCCCGGUGUAGUGGUGAAAUGCGUAGAUAUCGGGAGGAAUACCGGUGGCGAAGGCGGCAUCCUGGACCGAGAUUGACACUGAUGAGCGAAAGCUAGGGGAGCGAAACGGG
rnacentral:rRNA from 1 species